UGGAAUCAAUGGUUCCUCUCACCGUGGGGCUAACUGGGUUGCUGAGGACACCUGUUGACUAGAGCCAUGACCCCUUCCUCCUGAGAGCCUAGAUGUCCCCUGAGCCAACCACCCAUUCAUCCUGGGCAGUUCUGGCUUGGCCCAGUGGCUCACCCCGGGUCACAGGGCACAUUUCUGAUCAUGGCCUCUUCUCUCCAUCCUCAGCCCAGAGAGAGGAUUCUGUCCUGAUCUCACUGCCAGCCUCCGCCACCUGGAGCCAAGGAUCGGGCUCCUGGCUCACCAGAGCCCCGGAGGAAAUGUCUGCAUGCUGAGUCAGCGAGGCCCGCAGCGAGGGUCGGCAUCAUGGCCAUUAUACAGAUGAGGAGCCCAAGGCUCGGAGACUAGGAGCAGCUUGUCUGCGGGCUGUGCUUCUGCAGCAGGCACACACUCCAGCCAGGGCUGUUGAGUGGACUCAGGACCCUCCCACUAUGUUCAUGCUCGUUGGAGGCAAAGCCACAACAAACCUUAGCCACAUGAACCACGGAGGGCAGCACCCAGAGCAGAGAGUGACUUCAGCAGCCCCUGAGAACCAAGCGAACCUCUCCAGAGUCUGGAGGCCCAGCCGGGGGAGCUGCCGGAGCCCUCGGAGGGAGGGAGAGCCGUAACUUCAAAGGCCAUGUCACUGAGAAUUCCAGCUACAGCCUUCCAGGUUUGCUUUUGGCUUCAUUUCUUGGACUCACUUGGCUCUGGGAACUGAGGUUUUACUUGUAUGUACGGAGAAGAUACUGCUGCUUUUUUCCACUGGGGGGAAAAUGCCACCUUCGCUAAAUGGUGUGUGGCCAUUUUCCAAAUUCCUUUACAUGGAUCCAUUCAUCCUCACAUCAACCCCAUGAAAUGCCUUCAUGUACUCUUGUCCCCAUAUUACAGAUGGAAUCAUUGAACCUGAGGCAUUCUGGGAGCUGUCCAGGGAGCACAGAACAGGGCUGGCUCUGCUUCAAAGGUCUCGCUGGGCCACCACAGUGAGGGGAAAAUUAUGUGAUACGGGGAGUGGCUCCCAGAUUCCAGAAUAUAAAUCUCACCAAGCCAGAGCCCAGCAAACCAAGUCCUCCCAGAUUCUGCCUUCGUCCUUUGCCUUUUCUGUGAAGGAGGCAGUUUCAGAAGGCAUGGAAGUAAACUAAGAUUUGAACUUUUCCUCCGAAGAAGUGGUCCCCACAUACGUCUUUAGGACUGGUCAGCGCCUCCUCACGUCUUGCUCUCCUCCUCCUUCUGUGGGCUUUCUGUCGCUGGGGUGCAGCGUUAACAUUCAGAACCACCAGCAAUGAUGCGAACUGUGUCCACUGAUAUUGCAGAAAGAUUAUCGGCCACGGGCAGAGAAGAGGAAGCAAUUUGGGGUCCUGCUUUACUCCCUAACGGAAGAGCCCCUGCCCCAUUCCUCUGGCCAGCCAAAGUCUCCUGGCCGACAGUCCCAAGGCUUGGCGAUCAGGUCACUGUUGGGGGAGAUGCCACACUGCGUGGGAGGGGCCUCCAGCCGCAGCAACCACUCUUCUGGUGUGUGGCAGUGGGGUUCAGUCCCAUCAGCACACCAUGUUGCCAUGUGGUUUGCGCAGCUUUCCUUCAGAGCAGAGGUGGUCCUGGCCCCCACGCAUUCCAUUCCUCAAGUGUAUCUGUGGGUGUGUGUGUUGGGGGGUCGUGCUGCGCUGGGUGCCGUAACCAGCUUCUCUCCUUGAGACAGCUCAGACGGACCUCGGCUGGGCUCCUUGCCUUGCUGGGAA